AACGAACGCUGGCGGCGCGCCUAACACAUGCAAGUCGAGCGAAGCGGCGGACGGGUGAGUCACACGUGAGUAACCUGCCUUAGACAUUGGGCUCGCCUCGGGAAACCGGGAUUCAUACCAAAUGGUCUAAGAUGGACUCGCGUCCCAUUAGCUAGUUGGUGUGGUAACGGCCCACCAAGGGGACGCUGGGUAGACGGCCUGAGAGGGUGAACGGCCACAUUGGAACUGAGAAACGGUCCAAACUCUACGGGAGGCAGCAGAGGGGAAUAUUGCACAGUGGAGGGAACGCAGAUGGAGCGACGCCGCGAGAACGAAGAAGGCUUUCGAGGCGUAAAGUGCUUUUAUGAGGGAGGCGGUACCUCAAGAAAAAGCCCCGGCUAACUACGUGCCAGCAGCCGCGGUAAUUC
rnacentral:rRNA from 1 species